UUUCCGUAGGUGAACCUGCGGAAGGAUCAUUACAAAUCAAAGAGGGGGUUUGAUGGGAGAUGAUAGAUUUGAAAUUUGAAAUUUGAUUUAUCGUCAUUCAUCCCAACCACAUUUGCACAGAGCUCUGCUCUGAUGUACACGCUUGUUUGUUUGACAAAAUAAAAUAUUCUUUAAUGUUGACAACUUUUAACAAUGGAUCUCUUGGCUCUU
rnacentral:misc_RNA from 1 species